UACAGAGGGUGCAAGCGUUGUUCGGAAUUAUUGGGCGUAAAGGGCGCGUAGGCGGCUUGGCAAGUGGAAGGUGAAAUCCCUCGGCUCAACUGAGGAACUGCCCUCCAAACUGCUUUGCUUGAGGCCGGGAGAGGUAAGUGGAAUUCCCCAGUGUAGCGGUGAAAUGCGUAGAUAUUGGGAGGAACACCAGUGGCGAAGGCGGCUUACUGGACCGGUUCUGACGCUGAGGCGCGAAAGCGUGGGGAGCAAACGGG
rnacentral:rRNA from 1 species